GUGCUCGCUUCAGCAGCACGUGUACUAAAACUAGACCGAUACAGAGAAGGUUAGCAUGGCCCCUGUGCAAGGGUGACAUGCAAAUUCAUGAAGCGUUCCUUAUUUAA